GCUUCCAUGCAAGUCGAGCGAAGCUUUCGGGCUUAGCGGCGGACGGGUGAGUAACGCGUGGGAACGUGCCCUUUGGUACGGAAUAGUCCUGGGAAACUGGGUUUAAUACCGUAUAUUCUCUACGGAGGAAAGAUUUAUCGCCAAAGGAUCGGCCCGCGUUGGAUUAGGUAGUUGGUGGGGUAAUGGCCCACCAAGCCGACGAUCCAUAGCUGGUUUGAGAGGAUGAUCAGCCACACUGGGACUGAGACACGGCCCAGACUCCUACGGGAGGCAGCAGUGGGGAAUCUUAGACAAUGGGGGCAACCCUGAUCUAGCCAUGCCGCGUGAUCGAUGAAGGCCUUAGGGUUGUAAAGAUCUUUCGCUGGGGAAGAUAAUGACGGUACCCAGUAAAGAAGCCCCGGCUAACUCCGUGCCAGCAGCCGCGGUAAUACGGAGGGGGCUAGCGUUGUUCGGAAUUACUGGGCGUAAAGCGCGCGUAGGCGGAUUGGAAAGUUGGGGGUGAAAUCCCGGGGCUCAACCCCGGAACUGCCUCCAAAACUAUCAGUCUGGAGUUCGAGAGAGGUGAGUGGAAUUGCGAGUGUAGAGGUGAAAUUCGUAGAUAUUCGCAGGAACACCAGUGGCGAAGGCGGCUCACUGGCUCGAUACUGACGCUGAGGUGCGAAAGUGUGGGGAGCAAACAGGAUUAGAUACCCUGGUAGUCCACACCGUAAACGAUGAAUGCCAGACGUCGGCAAGCAUGCUUGUCGGUGUCACACCUAACGGAUUAAGCAUUCCGCCUGGGGAGUACGGUCGCAAGAUUC
rnacentral:rRNA from 1 species